CCGUAGUUCAAUGGUUAGAACAACACGUUGUGGCCGUGUAGAUCCGUGUUCGAUUCACGG
rnacentral:tRNA from 1 species